GAUGAACGCUGGCGGCGUGCCUAAUACAUGCAAGUCGAGCGAACAGACGAGGAGCUUGCUCCUCUGACGUUAGCGGCGGACGGGUGAGUAACACGUGGAUAACCUACCUAUAAGACUGGGAUAACUUCGGGAAACCGGAGCUAAUACCGGAUAACAUGUUGAACCGCAUGGUUCAACAGUGAAAGACGGUCUUGCUGUCACUUAUAGAUGGAUCCGCGCCGCAUUAGCUAGUUGGUAAGGUAACGGCUUACCAAGGCAACGAUGCGUAGCCGACCUGAGAGGGUGAUCGGCCACACUGGAACUGAGACACGGUCCAGGCGCCUGCGGGACGCAGCAGUAGGGAAUCUUCCGCAAUGGGCGAAAGCCUGACGGAGCAACGCCGCGUGAGUGAAGAAGGUCUUCGGAUCGUAAAACUCUGUUAUUAGGGAAGAACAAAUGUGUAAGUAACUAUGCACGUCUUGACGGUACCUAAUCAGAAAGCCACGGCUAACUACGUG
rnacentral:rRNA from 1 species